ensembl:lncRNA
AUGAUGAGACAAAGGCGGUCAAACAGUAUUAGCAUGUGUAUCUUGCCCGUCAUCCCCGAAUAUCCAGGCUUCCAGGACAUUAAGCUACCAAGAAAUUCCUCGGGAACUCCAGCCUUCAACUGGCUUUUCCAGGACUUGAAAAGAGGAAAGAGCUCCUCAUCUCAGCUGCAUAAUACUCCAAACAGAGCUCUCUUAGUCCAUCGCAUGGGGAGCUCUUCAAGAGGCUGUUUGAAAGGCCACCUACCAACCAGCAGCGGCUUCCACGACAAACCAGUGCAAGAGUACUUCAAUGAGAGGCUAAUGGAGCUCAGGAACUACAAAAGCAAGAGGUCGAACAGGAAGACAAAAGCUGGUGAGAGCCAGAACCCCUUCCUCACCCACAGAGGAUGCCGACGCAGAAGCAGUUGCAGUGCUGUGGUAAUGACAGGGCAUGGGAAGCAGAGUGAGGAGUCCUGCAGCUCAGCAGAUCAAGACAACCCAACUGGGAUUGAGCAUAACGACCAAGAGGAAAGGCAGGAUGCCCUGGACCUCUACAAGAGUGACUUCUUGGACAUCCUGACAAUGCACAUCACUGCUUCCCUAGAAGCAAUUGUGCAAAAGCAGUGAUACUGGAGCUGGUUACAGCUUUUGUGCAGUGCUGAAAGCCAGGAAGAACUGUUCCUGCUCAGCAUCACUCUGACUGAAGUAGUUCACGUGUGCCAGUCCACUCCGUCACAGAAAUGAGCUUGUUUGUGGGUGAAAAUGUUCUCUCAUCUUGUGUUCCUGGUUGGUAUUACAUAUAUUUUUUUCCAGCUGUUUUCUGCAAAGAGUAUAAUUGAGACACGGUUGGGACUUAUUAUAUAGAUAACAGUGUUCUGAAUGCAUGCACAUAUUAGCUGAAUCCAUAGAAUCCCAGACUGGUUUGGGUUGGAAAGCUCAUCCAGUUUCAACUCCCUGCCAUGGGCAGGGAUACUUUCCACUAGAGCAGCUUGCUCCAAGCCCCAUCCAACCUGGCCUUGAGCACUUAAGUGUUCAAGAAUUCUUAAGCUGCCUUAAGAAAAAGUUGAUCAAUGUCAGAGGAGCAGCUUGAGCUCCUACUCUGUAUCGGUUCAUCUGAAGAAAGACUGCUGUGCUCUGUCCUGUUACUUUGCUUGUUUUAAGCUUCUUGCUUUUAUCAUGUCACUUUGGACCAACUCAUCCAUGGUGACGAUUUGCACAGAUGCAAAUCAUUGAUGAGGAAUGGCUGAUUAUCAACCAUUGCCAUGUGUAGUUACCAGGUGGAUCAUUUGAAGUAUCUGAUGCAUGAAGAAGCAAACACAGAUGUUAAGUUUUAUAUUUCAAUAUGAAUGGCUAUUCUGGUUUCAUUUGCAGAUUCAGAAAACUUUGACUUAAACACCAGUACGAAGGCAAGAGUUAAAAAUACCAUAUUUAAGUGUGAAUGAUGGAAUUACAGAGGAAAGAAGGCUCCUUCCCUCUUUCCUAGUGUAAAUAUGAGAACAACAUAGCAAAUGCCUUGUGUAAUCUAGCUAAAUCAGUGUUUAUCAUGGUCAUCUAAGUAUACAGUGUCAGCUGCAGCUGAAUCUUUUUAUUAUGUGAAAUGUCAAUGUUUAAUUCCACAGUACACUGACUCUUAGACCCAAAGCAGAGCAAUUUUAACCUUCCAGAAAGAGUUACUACUGCCUGUGGUAUCAUCAGCAAUAAAU